GAAAAUUUGACUAUUAAUUAGGAGAUACAAUGGAGACGUGUGGGUUUGAGUUGAGUGUUUCAUUUUUGUUUUGUUUUCUUCUGCUUUAAAUCAGCUGUAACAUCAAAAAUGAAUGUGAUUUGCAAGAGAGGAAGGAGCAGUCAAUGUGUCCCUGUACACUGCAUGUAUUUAAUAAGCAAAGGCGGCUCUCAGCUGGUAGAGUAGUUAGGCCAGAGUGUGCGGCCUUAGAAGUAGCCUGGAGGUUGCAGCAACAUGGAGAUGAUGGUACCAAGUGAAGUAAAUCAGACCAAGAAAGACAAAUACGAUAUUACUUAUAUGUGGAAUCUUAAACAAAUGAUACAAAUGAACUUAUUUACAGAAAAGAAAUAGUCUCAUGAACAUAGAAAACAAAUUUAUGGUUACUAAAGGAGAAACGAGGGAGGGAUAAAUUAGGAGUUUGGGAUUAACAUAUACACACUGCUAUAUAUAAAAUAGAUAAACAAUAAGGACCUACUGUGUAGCACAGAGAACUACAUUCACUAUCUUGCAAUAACCCACAAUGGAAAAGAAUCUGAGAAAGAGUGUGUGUGUGUGUGUGUGUGUGUGUGUGUGUGUGUGUACUGAAUCACUUUGCUGUAUUCCUGAAACAUUGUAAAUUGUGUAUUUCAAUUUAAAAUUUUUAAUAAUAAUAAAAAAAGAAGUAACCAGGAGGUAGAUGAGGUGGGAGGGCAGGUGGGAUUAAGGUGUAAUGAAUACAAGGAAUGGGUAUAGGAUGUGUCACUGUUAAAAAGUAUAGUCUAGGCUGGUAGGAAAAAAACCAACAGUAACAACUCGAGUUAUUGUUGUUUUUUUUUUCCCCUCCUCUAAAGAGUGGUAGGAUGCAAAUGUCCUGAUAUGCCCAAGCCAGUCCCAGGUUGCUUCUGCUGUGGAUCAGUUAACACUGUUAAUUAUUUUUAGUGUCUCCUUUCAUCUUCAAGAGUGCCUGGGUUCGGACAAUAAAUUAUAUAGUCACUCUAAGGACCUAAAAUGAACAGAAAACCACAACUCUGUUUGUUUAACACAAACAUAGUGUUUAUAAAAGCUAAAUAAAACAUUAGUAAAUGUCAAUGCAAAUAAUAAAAUCAGAAAAUAGGAACAAAUUAGACUUGGUGUAAGUCAUAUCUUUACUUGGGGCAAGUUCUUCUGUUCUGUUAUUGCCUCAUGCAUUUUGGUGACUUUCUGAAGUUCAUAUUAUAUUUUUUUAAAAGUUGAUGAGGCACUGGAGCCUUGAUUUGUUUAGUUGGUAGUUGAUGAAGCUGGAUAUUUGCAUGAAUUUCCCUUGGCUCUGUCUUCUCAGAUGUAAUCAUUUUUAACUUAUCCCCAGGAACUAAGUAAGAACACGGCACCAUGGCCACAUUCUAGGUAAGUGCUCUGGCCCGGCCACAGCUCCUUUAAAUAGUGCAGAGCUGGAGUUCCCUUCAUGGCUUGGUGGUUAAUGAACCUGACGAGGAUCCAUGAGGAUGCAGGUUUGAUCCCUGGCCUUGCUCGGUGGGUUAAGGAUCCCACAUUGCUGUGGCUGUGGUGUAGAACCAAGAAUGCAGCUCUGAUUUGACCCCUAGUCUGAGAACUUCCAUAUGCUGUGGAUGUGGCCCUAAAAAGCAAAUAAAAUAAAAUAAAUUAAAUUAAAUUAAAAUAAAUAAAUAGUACAGAGCAGGGCAAGCCCUGCUCAAGGGUGGCUCACAAUCUAAACCCAAAACCCACUGACAUCUCUGAAUGCUUAUUGGUUAGAAAGACUAAAACAACAUAAACAACGUGCCAUGGGUACAUAAAAGUUGCUAAUAUCUUUUGACUAAUGGAAAAUACAAGGUGAGACCAGAGUUUCACAUUCAGAGAAUGUUGAGGGGUCCAGGAGGAAAGUGCCUUCGUUUUCAAUUACAUUCUCAUAUAUCCCCCCCGCUCCCCUUUUUCAGUGGCCACACCCAUGGCUUGUGGAAGUUCCUUGGCCAGGGACUGACUCAAAGGUACAGUUGUGAUCUGAUUGCAGCUGCAGCAACGCUGGAUCCAACGUGUGCCUCCACAGCGACCUGAGCUGCUGCAGUCAGGUUCUUAAACCACUGGGCUCCAGGUUCUUAACCCAGGAACUCCAUCCCUUAACUUUUAAACAUAUAAAAACAAAAUACUUUAUUCCUUGAAUAUUCUGAGGUUGUGCUUUCUAAAGUAUGGUUUAGGGGCAAAGUGGUGCCAGGAUUUCUGGGAGAAGUAGGAAGACAUUGGAAAAAAGCCACCAGAAUUUAGUUCCAAUGUUUCAACCCAGAAAGAAUCUUCCACUCUCUUUAGGAGAUUCCAAUUUCAUAAAGGUUUUUAAAAAGUAAAUAUUGUAGACGUUCCCAUUGUGGCUCAGUGGGUUAAGAACCCAACUAGUAUCCGUGAGGAUGCAGGUUUGAUCCCUGGCCUCCCUCAGUGGGUUAAGGGAUCUGGUGUUGCUGCGAGCUGUGGCGUAGGUUGCAGAUGUGGCUUGGGUUCCUGCAUUGCUGUGGCCGUGGCAUAGGCUGGCAGCUGUGGCUCUGAUUUGACCCCUAGCUUGGGAACUUCCACAUGCUGCAGAUGAGGCCCUAAAAAGAAAAAAGAAAAAAAAAAGUAAAUACUGUAGAUUAUGGUUUUCUAAUGUGUUUUUUUUUUUCUACACCAGCAGCAUAUGGAAGUUCCUAGGCCAGAGCAGCGACCCAAGCUGCUGCAGUGACAACGCUGGGUCCUUAAUAAACUGAGCCACUUGUAAACUCCUCCCAAUGUAAAUUUUAUCAAAGCAUAGCAUUCUGACAAAAGAGUGCAUGAAAUUUAAGUGAUCAGCUCACUUAAUUUUUCACAAAAUGAAUGCAGCCAUAUAACCAGCACUCCAUCAUGAAACAAAACAUCACCAGUCCCAGGGGGCCUCUCAUGGUCCUUCCAAUCACUAACUCUUUCUUCCAGAAGCCACAUCAAUUUUUUUUUGGCCAUGCCCAGGGUGUAUGGAAGUUCCCCAGCCAGGGAUUGAACCUGUGCCACAGCAGUGACAACACCUAAUCCUUAACCACUAGGCUACUAGGAAACUCCCACCACAUCGAUUUGGACCCCCAAUACCAUCGCUUAGUUUUGAAUAGAGGUUUAUUGAGGAACCAUUGAUUUGUCUUAUUCAUAUUUUAUCCCUAACACCUGGCACAGUGCCUAGUACAUAAUACUUGUUUAAUAAUGUUGGUUGAAUGAGUGAAAGAAAGCAGACUUUGAUAAGAUAGUGGAUCAAAUUAACAUAAUGAUCUGUAAGAGGGUUAAGUGGCAUUAAACUUGAGUGGGAACUGGGAUCAGGGGUGGCUGACUUGGAAACAAGGCGAAAACUCAAACUUUGAAUGGAAGAGUAUGCUUCAGUUUUAUCUUUUAACAAAUAUAAACAAUGUGAAAAAAAUCAAAUCCUCUUUAAGUUUUUCUUGGGCCUUAACCAACUCUGCUCACCUCAUAUCCACAGUAACUGGUGAAGCCAGCCUCCAGAGAGCUUGUUCCUCCUUCUUACUUGUAACUGGACCCAUGCAGCCAAGAAAUGACUAUUUUCAGGCCUUCUCCACCCCAACUCUGAGGCCCGAUCAGUCAGAAAACAAAAUCAGAGUCCCCCUAGGCCGAAGCAUGUGAUCUUUGGCCAGAGUGCUUCCCGCCCUAAUGAAUGAGGUAAUGAGGGGCCAAAUAAGGUUUCAUGUGUGUAUCGCCUCAGAAUUACAGUUUUAACUGUAUUUUCAAAAAGCUGGAAUUGAGAACCUAGCGCUGCCAAAUCACUGCUUAGUCAGAGAGAUCUGUCAGCUGGAGAGAUAACAAAUACAAGCAAAAGCCAUUUCGGGCUUUGAACUGCUGCUCUGAAAUGAUUACCAGGAAAAUACAAAUAAAUCAUGUCUUCUGAAGGACAGAUUCAUUACGGAACUUGUUAAGUUGGGGUUUUAAAUAUGUAAGAUACUUCAAACAUUGAAAGGGAGCAAAUCUGGAAAUGGGAACUAUUUCAGUUAGGGGAUGAUUUUUCUCCGAUGUGCCGCCCCUGCCCCCAGUGGAGAGAUGUCAUACUGUAUCACAGACAAACCUUCAAAGGCAAAACGCAGAGAUAAAGGCCAGCCUGGAGAAACACCCAAGUCCACCAAAUCCACUUCGCCCACAUUAAAUCUAGUCUUCAAAAACAGGAGUGUUGAAUCCAGAAACAGAUCUCAUUUGCCUGAAAAGGGGAAGCAGUUCUUUCUCUUUUAAAACUUUUUUUUUCCCAGGGUGAUUGGAGGCUUCCAAGCAAAUAUAAUUUUGCAUAGACUGCUGUCUCUGAGGAGACUUCUCCAUGCCUGGAGAACUUCAGCUUCACCUACAAGGAGACUCUGGCAGUCCUCAUUCCUUCUCUGAAGCUUCCCAGAUGCAUCCGGGCCCUCUCACACGUUGCAACAUAGAACUGAUAAAGAAUUGAUAGUGGAAUUAAUUGAACAAAUGAAUGAGAAAAAGACAAACAAUCCAAUGGAAAAAUGGGCAAAAGGCUGGAACCUGCACUUCACAAAAGAGGAAACUCAAUAAAAAAUAUGUUCAACCUCAUCAAUAAUCAUGGAAGUGCAGAGUAAUACCUAAUUAACUAAUAUCUAAUGUAAACAGAUACCACUCUGUACUACCAAAAUUUGUACUGACAAAAUUUGAAAGUCUGACAACACCAACUGCUAGUAUGGAUGCAGAGAAAAACCCUUACAGCUGGUGGAAGUAUAAAUUAGCACAACUGCUUUGGAAAACAGUUCUGCACUACUUUUGCUUUGUUGGGCCGCUCCCACAGCAUAUGGAGGUUCCCAGGCUAGGGGUCAAAUCCGAGCUAUAGCUGCCGGCCUACACCACAGCAAUGCGGGAUCUGUGUUGCAUCUGCGAACUACGCCACAGCUCAUGGCAACACCAGAUCCUUAACCCACUGAGUGAGGCCAGGGAUCAAACCAGCAACGUCAUCAUUCCUAGUUGGAUUUGUUUCCCCUGUGCCACAGUGGGAACUCCUGCACUACUUUUUAUAUUUGAACAGUCACAUACCCUAAAACCCAGCAACUGCAUCUCUUGGUACAUAACCUAGAGACAAUCCAGGACAGGCUCCCUGAGAGACUUAUAUUAGAAUGUUCUCACAGCAUUGUUUCUAACAGUCAAAAAUGGGGAAUGACUUGUACUUCCUGCUGUGUUGCAGUGGAUUUAUGAUCCAACUUGUCUCUGUGUGGUACCAGUGUGAUUCCCGGCCUGGUGCAGUGGAUUAAGGAUCCAGCAUUGCUGCAGCUAUGGCGUAGGUGGCAGCUGCAGCUCAGAUUCAAUCCCUGACCCAGGAACUUCCAUAUGCCACAGGUGCAG
rnacentral:lncRNA from 1 species